rnacentral:rRNA from 1 species
AGUGAACGCUGGCGGUAGGCCUAACACAUGCAAGUCGAACGGCAGCACAGUAAGAGCUUGCUCUUACGGGUGGCGAGUGGCGGACGGGUGAGGAAUACAUCGGAAUCUACUUUUUCGUGGGGGAUAACGUAGGGAAACUUACGCUAAUACCGCAUACGACCUACGGGUGAAAGCAGGGGAUCUUCGGACCUUGCGCGAUUGAAUGAGCCGAUGUCGGAUUAGCUAGUUGGCGGGGUAAAGGCCCACCAAGGCGACGAUCCGUAGCUGGUCUGAGAGGAUGAUCAGCCACACUGGCACUGAGACACGGUCCAGACUCCUACGGGAGGCAGCAGUGGGGAAUAUUGGACAAUGGGCGCAAGCCUGAUCCAGCCAUACCGCGUGGGUGAAGAAGGCCUUCGGGUUGUAAAGCCCUUUUGUUGGGAAAGAAGAGCAGCAGGUUAAUACCCCGCUGUUCUGACGGUACCCAAAGAAUAAGCACCGGCUAACUUCGUG